ensembl:lncRNA
CACAGGCGAACCUAACUAACAUAAUCAAGGGGGAAACAAAAGUAGGUCAAAGGAACAUGUGAGAUGAAUGAAAACAAACUCAAAUUCAAUGAACAGAACAUAACUGUGACAGUAUUCCCCCCUCCAGCCAGUCACGACCUCAUGCCGUAACAAGAACAAACAAAGGAGGGAACAAAGUAGAGCAGGCAGGAAGGCAGACAGAUGACCAGGACGGUGACAGCCCAGGAGAGAGCCAUGGAGGGAUCAGGAGGAACCAUGACUGACCAGACGGAGGGAGGAGCCAGGAUGGAGACAGCAAGGAUUUGGAGUAGGAUGAGCCAGGUGGCUCCCAGAACGCAGCCAACAUGGUGGCCCAUGGUGGAGCCGAUGGAGGGAGGAGCCAUGGUGGAGGAAGAGCUGACAAUUCCAGGGGGCCGACUGACAGCAGCAGAAUAGAUGGGAGAGGAGCCUGAGGUGGAGAUGGAGAGCUGACGAGCCGUGCUGGAGUCAGAGCGACAGAGGACCAAGGUGGCACUGGAGGGAGGGAGGAGCCCACUGGAGCCAGAGGAGUGUAGUCCCAAGGCAAGGGCAGGUCAACUGACCAAGGUGGAGCUGGAGGGAUGAGGGAGCCCGGCGGAGCUGGUGGACUGACGGGCCACAGUGGAGAGGAGGGAGCUAGGAGCCAUGGUGGAGCUGCUGGGUCGAUGGGCCGAGGUGGAGUCCGGUCCUGGGAGGCUCGAGGCGCAGACAAGGGAUCCUUCAACCAUGAUGCCAAUGGGAAAUGGCAGACCCGCAGUGAAACUACACCACUGAUAGUGGGCUGAGGGUGAGCAGAGGGGCUGACAGGAGACAGCGGAGACAAUGGGGAAGACUGAUGAAGAGAUGGAGCUGGAGGGAUGGUGGGAGGGUAUUUAUGACUGGCAACCGGGAGUGCUAGGGACAAAGGAACGACCUCUCUGGUUGUGGUGGAACAGACAUACAGUUCAGGGCAGAUGAACAGUUCAAAAAUGGCCUCCUUGGCCGUAUCAGGACAGGCAGAGAGUUCAGAAUCAGGAGAGGAGGUAUGUUGGAAUAAAAGUCUAUUAAAUCCUCCAGAGUCCAGCUGCAGCUCACCCUCAGCAGUAGCAAAGUGGGCAGGGCCUUCCUCCACACCCUCGUCAUAAUCCGCCAUGGGGGGCUUUGUUGCCGGCUCUCACACCUGGUCAGAUGUUGGUUAAGGCUCUGGCUCCGGGGCGAUCCUCAGCUCUGUCGCUCCUAUAGGUGAUGGCUCGUCGGUAGCAGCAGGGUGACGUUUGGCUGGGCUCUGGGUCUGGAGUGGAGCUUACGAGACCGAUGGUGAAUGGAGAGUCAUUGCUCACCAGCACCCACUCCACAAAGGUGGCGAAAUCCCUUUGAGGUCCACAUCCGGACAACCACGCUCUGCAAGCGGUGUUAAGGUAGAACGUGCAGAGGCAACAGGGACUAAAUGACUUAAUUAACUAGACACAGGUGAACCUAACUAAACAUAAUCAAGGGGGAAACAGAAAGUAGGUCAAAGGAACACGUGGGAUGAAUGAAAUAUCUUUGAAUAUCACUUAA